AACAAACGCUGGCGGCGUGCCUAAUACAUGCAAGUCGAACGAGGUAGCAAUACCUAGUGGCGCACGGGUGAGUAACGCGUGGAUAAUCUGCCUUUGAGUGGGGGAUAACUAGUCGAAAGAUUAGCUAAUACCGCAUAAGACCACAGGAACUGAGGUUCUAGGGGUUAAAGGUUUUUCGCUCAUAGAUGAGUCCGCGUGAGAUUAGCUAGUUGGUGAGGUAACGGCUCACCAAGGCGACGAUCUCUAACUGGUCUGAGAGGAUGAUCAGUCACACUGGAACUGAGACACGGUCCAGACUCCUACGGGAGGCAGCAGUAGGGAAUAUUGCACAAUGGAGGAAACUCUGAUGCAGCGACGCCGCGUGAGUGAUGAAGGCUUUCGGGUCGUAAAGCUCUGUCGCAGGGGAAUAACACAAUGAAUGUACCCUGUAAGAAAGGAUCGGCCAACUACGUGCCAGCCGCCGCAGUAA
rnacentral:rRNA from 1 species